rnacentral:rRNA from 1 species
UACGGGGGGGGCAAGCGUUGUUCGGAAUUACUGGGCGUAAAGGGCUCGUAGGUGGCCAACUAAGUCAGACGUGAAAUCCCUCAGCUUAACUGGGGAACUGCGUCUGAUACUGGAUGGCUUGAGUUUGGGAGAGGGAUGCGGAAUUCCAGGUGUAGCGGUGAAAUGCGUAGAUAUCUGGAGGAACACCAAUGGCGAAGGCAGCACUCUGGGACGUGACUGACGCUGAGACGCGAAAGCGUGGGGAGCAAACAGG